GUUCCUCUUCUAGGUUAUGUCCCCUUAAUAAUAUUCAUGAUAUCAGGACAUGAGUGCAAAAAACCAAAUGUAGUGAGGUAUUCUAAAAUCAUGCAUAUAUGGAUUCAAAAUCUCUUCAUUUAUUUUAAAUGCCUAUAACUGUGUUAUUUGCAUGGGUUUUCAUAAGACUGAUAAAUUUAAGAAUAAGGAGGAGAAAGAUUUGAGGAUGAGAAGAAAAUGGCUCUCUUACUGGUAUUAGUAAUCUUGUGGUUAGUGAUUUUAAAAUGUUUAUUUUUUUAAGCUGCAGACUUCAUACCUGUAGCAUAGAAACAUUGCCUUUCCUACACAUUUCUCAUUAUUCUUUCCCAGAAAAUUAUUGUAAGAGUUUAUGAAACUGUAUUAAAUAUCCAUAUUUGAUUUAUCCUAAUUUUUAAGAGUAAAUAUUUGAAUUCCAGUUUUUGUAUAUUUAGUGUUCAUUGCCAUUCAUGUACAUCAAGCAUCAGAAAGAAACUGGAGAUUAACCAUCUUUCCCUUUCCACACCGGGUACAGUGGAUGGCAUCAGUACGCACUAGCUGCAAAAUUACUCCACCUUAUGGAACUAAGUAGGGUUUAUUUAUUAUAAUAAAAAGUUAAGAUGCACUUUUGUGUAUUACUUUGCAGAGUGUAAAGCCACAUCUUUUCCAGCGGGAUAUAUUCUUUCAUUCUUAACUCUUUUUUGAAAAAUCUUAAGUAAUUUAACAUUCCUUAAUAUCCUCUUAACAGUGUAAAAUCUAGGGUAGAAGGGAUUUUUCCCUCCGAAAGGGCUUUAUUUUUGCUGUAUUUGAAUCACUUUCAGAAAUCCAGUUAUGAUCAAUAAAUUCUAAGUUUAUGGCCUCCUGUGUCAGCACUGAAAUGGUGGGUUAUAAUAUUAAAACCUACUGCUCUUUUCCCUUAUUAACAUGCCAUUGUUGUGCUUUUGAUAAGAAGGUUUGGUUAGAAAAAAAUGUGAAAGAUCACUUAAACCAAAGCCAGUUAUAAGGAGUAUUUUCUCCUGUUGGUUUACCUUCACCACAGAAUUAUAGGAACAUCAAAAUACACACUGAAUAGUUGUGCAUAACAUUUCUACCCGUUGUUUCAAUUGGCCUUGGCAUUUCUUGAAACUAUGGUUCUACAUUCUUUGUGAUGUCUUAUUGUUUGUGAGGUUUUUUUUUAAAUAACUAAGUGGGGCUGUAAAUGUAGAUUUGUGUCAGUAUCAAGAAAUUGUUUUCAGAUCUUUAAACGGAUUUCCAUUUAAGUGUUUUAAACUUGUUUUUUCUUCCUGAGUAGCAAAGGACUUUUAUUUUUCACUUUUCCUAUAUACCUAAAAGUAUGAACACUGCAUUUCAAUGGACUGUAUUGUGUACUUUUUGCUGAGAACUUUUUUCUGUAAACACAAUUGCCUUGUUCAGUUUUGUUGUAAACUGACUUACCAUAAGAUGCACUGUUGAUAUGCUUUCUGAUGUGUGUUUGAUAAGAGUGAUGAAAUAAAACUUAAAAA
rnacentral:lncRNA from 1 species